AGGAUAUGGCAAGAAUUGCUAUUCCUGGAUUCGUUCGGACUCCGUACGGCCCAGCUCGUUCCUAUGCUAGGGUUCCAAAGCAACCGAACAAUUCAUUGAAAGUUGGACAGAAGAUCGUGAACUUUACGAAUGGGACGAGGAUUCUCUCAGUUCAUACAGGAUGGAGUUGAUGCUAGACAUAAUUUGUGGCCCACACAAUGCAUUGGUUCAUCAGCUUGUUUCAUUAUUGAAUGAAAGAGUUAAACCUGUUCGUCGCAAUGCACCACGGAACAAGAAGAAGGAUGUUAGUUCACCAUACACUGCACCUAGCACACGGUCAUUGAUUGAAUGUGCAGAGGGAUUACCGAAGGGGGCAAUGCGCAAAUGGAGAAAGAAGUUGCUUACUUAGGAUUAGUUACAAUGAAUUGAACUACCAAAUUUUACUGAGUUUACUUACUGCUGACAUGCUUAGGGAUUUCUUUUUUGUCACAUUAGAAAGACUUGAUUCCAAGACAUAUUUUGUUUUUAUACAGUACAAUGAUUUAUUGGUUAUGUUACCUAAACAUUAUCCAUGUUUUU